rnacentral:rRNA from 1 species
UAAUACAUGCAAGUCGAGCGAAUGGAUUAAGAGCUUGCUCUUAUGAAGUUAGCGGCGGACGGGUGAGUAACACGUGGGUAACCUGCCCAUAAGACUGGGAUAACUCCGGGAAACCGGGGCUAAUACCGGAUAACAUUUUGAACCGCAUGGUUCGAAAUUGAAAGGCGGCUUCGGCUGUCACUUAUGGAUGGACCCGCGUCGCAUUAGCUAGUUGGUGAGGUAACGGCUCACCAAGGCAACGAUGCGUAGCCGACCUGAGAGGGUGAUCGGCCACACUGGGACUGAGACACGGCCCAGACUCCUACGGGAGGCAGCAGUAGGGAAUCUUCCGCAAUGGACGAAAGUCUGACGGAGCAACGCCGCGUGAGUGAUGAAGGCUUUCGGGUCGUAAAACUCUGUUGUUAGGGAAGAACAAGUGCUAGUUGAAUAAGCUGGCACCUUGACGGUACCUAACCAGAAAGCCACGGCUAACUACGUGCCAGCAGCCGCGGUAAUACGUAGGUGGCAAGCGUUAUCCGGAAUUAUUGGGCGUAAAGCGCGCGCAGGUGGUUUCUUAAGUCUGAUGUGAAAGCCCACGGCUCAACCGUGGAGGGUCAUUGGAAACUGGGAGACUUGAGUGCAGAAGAGGAAAGUGGAAUUCCAUGUGUAGCGGUGAAAUGCGUAGAGAUAUGGAGGAACACCAGUGGCGAAGGCGACUUUCUGGUCUGUAACUGACACUGAGGCGCGAAAGCGUGGGGAGCAAACAG